UGAAGAUAAAUGAAAAGAGGGCGAACUAGAGAGGGAGGUAGAGGGAUAGAGGUAACGGAAAGAAAUAAUGCAAGGGAGGAGUGAGCAGAUGACAGAGAGAGGGAGGAUUCAGCUUGGGUUGGAAAGGUUGAGAUUCACAUAGCUCUUUGUAGGAGAGGUACUGUAUAGCGACUGGGGCUCCUGGGGAGAUGUCUCUCCAGCUCCAAAUCAGCACAUACACAGAGGAGUUCAGCUCACCUGGACAAGGCAAACCAACUCAACCGAGACCGUCCUCAGCCCACCGCAGAAAUAACCCCCACCCCAGACCGGACUUCCUGUUGCCCAGGAAACUGCAGAAUAGCCACAGGGCCUCCCGGUCAGUGUUCCAGGUUGCUACUGCUCCUGUAAACAACGGCCGUCCACUUUUCCCUCCUGUCCGGCACUUGUCUUUUCAGCAUAACUCAGAUGGCAAACGUGCACGCUCUCUCAGUGCUGUGGACACAGAGCCGCCACGCAUGCCACCCCUCAGCCCAUCCAGAACAACACAGCACAUGCUGCCACUUGCAGGCUGGCUACACAAACCACACAUGACUGACCCCUCCAUCAGAGACAUGCAACUCCAACCACUCCUAAAAAACAUACAAAGCAACAUGGAUUCCUCCAAGUCAUUACAACAGAGGCCAGCUUGCUACCUGACUGAUGUCCAGUGUUACCAGGGUGACCAUCCACACUCAUCACAGGGACUGAGGAGAAACUCAGGCAUUGAAAAUCGGAAUGGACUUCAAAAUGGCAGCCUCCCAGGCGUUAGGCACCUCCUACCACAGGCCCACUACCGGAGGUCUCGCUCCAAUACUACACUGGAUUCAUGUGGUGGAUACAGCUGUUUCAACGUGGUGAAACCUUACCAGGCUGGAUACUACAUCAUUCAUCCAGAAUUUGUGUCUGAGUGCCUACGCUGAAAGUUUAACCACAUGUUCAAUGAACUGUACUGGAUUUAUUAGAGAUCUUCUGCGGUGUUUUGAUCUUGACAGCUGAUUAAUUUAAUGCAUUAUUCAUAACUCAUUUAUAAUGUAAAGUAACAAUGUAGAGUAAUGUUACCUGAAAUUCAAGUCAUUCAAAUGUAAAUAAAGGAAGC
rnacentral:lncRNA from 13 species